UGCAAUGACCUGAACUCAGCUCUGCAAGCAGUGAGGCAUAAUGCAAUGCAGGGCAGCCCGGAAUAAUCUGGUUGGCAUCCAAGGAUGUAUAUUCACUGAGAGGCUGGGGAGUGUGUCAGCAUUUAGUUGCAGUCUAGCUGCACUUUUCCUGCAGCACAGAAUCACAAAGUCUCCGUCUCCUCCUCUGGAUUGGGACUGAUUCUGCACCGGGAUCCUCUGAAAAGACAAAGUUUUCCUCUCUUGUUAUUGCUGUGCCACCACAAUCUACCAAGAUGUGUGACUGCUUUCAUCUAGUUCUUCCUAACUGGCAAGGAUCUCCAGCCAGUGGUUCUGGACGACAGCUGAGACCGGCCGAGGCCCCGGGAGAUGCCGAUGCUGAUGCAGAUGCAGAUGCAGAGGAGGAAGAUUCUGUUACCGAAGUGGCAGUAGAAGACAUUCGUCCAAGGCCACAAGGAUCCUCUCCAGUUUAUGAGUAUCCCGAAGAAGAAG